GCUAACUCCGUGCCAGCAGCCGCGGUAAUACGGAGGGUCCAAGCGUUAUCCGGAUUUAUUGGGUUUAAAGGGUCCGCAGGCGGGAAAAUAAGUCAGUGGUGAAAUCCUAUCGCUUAACGAUAGAACUGCCAUUGAUACUGUUUUUCUUGAGUGUAAUUGAAGUGGGCGGAAUGUGUCAUGUAGCGGUGAAAUGCAUAGAUAUGACACAGAACACCGAUUGCGAAGGCAGCUCACUAAAUUAUUACUGACGCUCAGGGACGAAAGCGUGGGGAGCAAACAGGAUUAGAUACCCUUGUAGUC
rnacentral:rRNA from 1 species